GAUCUAGAAUCACUUGUAGAUACAAUCGUCAAGCAUGAAAGGACUCAAUCUAAGUGUUAUCAUAAGAAGAUGUGAACCAUGCCCAACACUUUUCCUCUCGCACGUUGUCAGUACACGAGGGUACUCAACUAUUGGAUGAUAAGAACACGGUAUGAUGAUCGUUCUAGGUAAGCAAAUAAGUAACCCAAAGUAGCUCUGGCCAGCCAUUACAUGAAAGAGCAUCAUCAAAAUAUGACUGAUAACAAAUAGAUCUUAAACAAGAGGUUCAACGAUUACAAAUCAAGAUCUCCAUAUAACCCCGAGGUCAAACAAAGACUUUACCCCAUGAUCUUACACAUAUCGAUACAAUUCUAGGUAAAGGACGUCCAGUAGAUCAACUGGACCAAAGAUGAUGACAAACGGGGGCAGGAAAGCCUUAGGCCGAUCGGCCUGGGCACUUCCAAGUCGAUCGGCUUGGGAGGUUUCUUCCUCCUUUGGUGCUCCACUUCGCGUGGCUUGCUGUAGAUCCAAUCUCCUCUUCAUUUUUCUUUCUUGUGGUGGUAGUGGAUGGUUUUUGAGGUGUUGUCUCUCUUCUCUAACUCUCUUUUCCUUGAUAUCCAUGAGGGGGUAUUUAUAGUCUCCACUAGGUGGUGGCUCUAGGUCAAUGGAUGAUGGAAAAACCCUAGAGAUGUCAUGGAUGUCACGCUGAAGAAACGGGGGAUCGACUAGGCCCUAGAAUGGGCCUGACCGAUCAGCCCAAAGGGUCCCAGGUUGAUCGGCCUGGGCCCUUUCUAGCCCUCCUGGUCCUCUCUUUCCUCGUGCUGGCUUCCCUUGAUGACCCGUGUCCAAAUAUCUGUUAAGCUCUUUAUGCAAACCCUCUUGAUUAUGUCGUAUUUCCUGUCAUAAUGCAAUAUACUCCAAAAUACAACACAUAUGCAAUAACGAGGUUAUUUCAGGUGCCAAGUGGUGGGUUAGUCUAAGAUUAAGCAUGAAAAUACUAGUUAAAUAGCACUAAAAGUGUGUCAAUAACGAGCGUCAACAAUCCCC
rnacentral:lncRNA from 1 species